rnacentral:rRNA from 1 species
CGUAACUGAUGAAUUGGACUUUAUUUGCGCAGUAUAGGUGGGAGGGGUUGAAAAUAUUCUUGCGGGAAUAUUGGAGCCAUCAGUGAGAUACCACUCUUGUAAUGUUAGAUUUCUAACUUUGUAUCAUUAUCUGGUCAAAGGACAGUUUCAGGCGGGCAGUUUGACUGGGGCGGUCGCCUCCCAAACGGUAACGGAGGCGCACAAAGGUUUCCUCUGAACGGGUAGAAAUCGUAUCUAGAGUGUAAAGGCAUAAGGAAGCUUGACUGUGAGACCUACAAGUCGAGCAGGGACGAAAGUCGGUCUUAGUGAUCUGACGGUGCUGAGUGGAAAGGCCGUCACUCAACGGAUAAAAGUUACUCUAGGGAAACCAGGCUGAA